rnacentral:misc_RNA from 1 species
ACGAGCGAGGGUCCUCGUGGCCCAACCUCCCAACCCUUUGUUUACUGAACCUCAUGUUGCUUCGGCGGGCCCGUCUCACGACCGCCGGGGGAUUUCGACGUCCCCUGGCCAGCGCCCGCCGAUGGCCAACCAUUAAAACUCUUGAUUAAACCGUGUCGUAUUGCCUAAGUCAUGAUUAUUCAAUCAAAAAUA